rnacentral:rRNA from 1 species
AACGAACGCUGGCGGCGUGGAUAAGACAUGCAAGUCGAACGAGGUCCGAAGUUCCCGCAAGGGAGUUUCGGACUUAGUGGCGAACGGGUGCGUAACACGCGGGCAAUCUGCCUUAAAGUGGGGGAUAGCUCGGCGAAAGCCGAAUUAAUACCGCAUGUGACCAGUCAAGACAUCUUGGCGAAAUCAAAGUUGGCGCAAGCUAACGCUUUUAGAGGAGCCCGCGGCCUAUCAGCAGUUGGUGAGGUAACGGCUCACCAAGGCUAUGACGGGUAGCUGGUCUGAGAGGACGACCAGUCACACUGGAACUGAGACACGGUCCAGACACCUACGGGUGGCAGCAGUCGAGAAUUUUUCUCAAUGGGGGAAACCCUGAAGGAGCGACGCCGCGUGGAGGAUGAAGGUCUUCGGGUUGUAAACUCCUGUCAUUUGGGAACAAUGCUAUUCGGUUAACUGCCGAAUAGUUGAUAGUACCAGAAGAGGAAGAGACGG